GAUGAACGCUAGCUACAGGCUUAACACAUGCAAGUCGAGGGGUAACGAGAGGGAAGCUUGCUUUCCUUGUCGACGACCGGCGCACGGGUGAGUAACGCGUAUCCAACCUGCCCCCAACUAAGGAAUAACCUUGCGAAAGUAAGACUAAUACCCUAUAAUUUCCUCGGAUGACAUCUGACGAGGAAUAAAGAUUUAUCGGUUGUGGAUGGGGAUGCGUCUGAUUAGCUUGUUGGCGGGGUAACGGCCCACCAAGGCAACGAUCAGUAGGGGUUCGGAGAGGAAGGUCCCCCACAUUGGAACUGAGACACGGUCCAAACUCCUACGGGAGGCAGCAGUGAAGAAUAUUGGUCAAUGGGCGGAAGCCUGAACCAGCCAAGUAGCGUGCAGGAUGACGGCCCUAUGGGUUGUAAACUGCUUUUAUACAGGAAUAAAGUUAGCCACGUGUGGUUAUUUGUAGGUACUGUAUGAAUAAGGACCGGCUAAUUCCGUGCCGGCCGCCGCCGUAA
rnacentral:rRNA from 1 species